UACGUAGGGUGCGAGCGUUGUCCGGAAUUAUUGGGCGUAAAGAGCUCGUAGGCGGUCUGUCGCGUCGGAUGUGAAAAAUCCAGGGCUCAACCCUGGACCUGCAUUCGAUACGGGCAGACUAGAGUUCGGUAGGGGAGACUGGAAUUCCUGGUGUAGCGGUGAAAUGCGCAGAUAUCAGGAGGAACACCGGUGGCGAAGGCGGGUCUCUGGGCCGAAACUGACGCUGAGGAGCGAAAGCGUGGGGAGCAAACAGG
rnacentral:rRNA from 1 species